UACGGAGGGUGCAAGCGUUGUCCGGAUUUAUUGGGUUUAAAGGGCGCGUAGGCGGCCUGCUAAGUCGAACGUGAAAUCCCCGGGCUCAACCCGGGAACUGCGUUCGAUACUGGCAGGCUUGAAUCCGGGAGAGGGAUGUGGAAUUCCAGGUGUAGCGGUGAAAUGCGUAGAUAUCUGGAGGAACACCGGUGGCGAAGGCGGCAUCCUGGACCGGUAUUGACGCUGAUGCGCGAAAGCCAGGGGAGCAAACGGG
rnacentral:rRNA from 1 species